rnacentral:rRNA from 1 species
UACGUAGGGGGCAAGCGUUGUCCGGAAUCAUUGGGCGUAAAGAGCGUGUAGGCGGCCUGAUAAGUCGGUUGUGAAAGUCAAGGGCUCAACCCUUGAAUGCCGGCCGAUACUGUCAGGCUAGAGUCCGGAAGAGGCGAGUGGAAUUCCUGGUGUAGCGGUGAAAUGCGUAGAGAUCUGGAAGAACACCAAAGGCGAAGGCAGCAUUCUGGGAAGUAACUGACGCUCAUGUGCGAAAGCUAGGGGAGCGAACGGG